rnacentral:tRNA from 1 species
GCUGAUGUGGCACAGUCGGUUAGCGCGUCGUACUUAUAGGCAGUACGGAAAUGAGAAGGUCGAGAGUUCGAUCCUCUCCAGGAGCA